CCCUCAAACCACAGUGACCUCAUCUGAACUCAAUUAUGAAAUUCUGACACUUAGACUUUAGCAACUGGCCCUACCACAAGAAAAAGUUUUCAUUCUUUUCUCAAGAUAAAUUUUAAAGCAAAACUAAACCCAAGUUGGUGGGAGCAGAACAGAUCUGUCUGAGAACAAGGGGAGCACCCUGAGGCAGCACAGGGCUGAUGCUUGGUGGCUUCUCUUCUCCUCUCUGCCCUUUGAGAUGGAAUGUGGGGCAGGCAGAAAGCACUACUCUCCAGGUCAGGAGACCUGCACCCUGGCUUGUCCACUAAACUUGUCAGCUGUAUCCAUCUCUACGGGUCCCUGAGGAGGUUUGAUUUGCUUAGGUUUGAGGCCACACAAUUAAGCAUGCAUGGCAAUACUUCAUCACCAAGUGGAAAUGGUACACACCAAACCAGACUCCAGCAGAUUCUGAAGCAACAAUGUAGUCACGUGUACUGAAGGCUCGGGCUCCUAUGGCACAUUCUUCUGCAGCAUUGCCAUCUUUCCUUCAUCCAGUGUUAGGUUUUUAUGGUGAUCUCCCUGUGAACAAAUUGCUGAAGAAGAAUCUGGUUUAUAGAUUUCUUUUUUUCCAGUACACUGGCAAGCUAGGAAUAGAGCAUUAUAGCCACGAUAAGAAGUGUGCUAAAACAAACAAACACACUAAGAAAGAGAAAUCCUGACCGAACGCAGUGGCUCAUGCCUGUAAUCCCAGCACUUUGGGAGGCUGAGCUGGAUGAUCACCUGACGUUGGGAGUUCAAGACCAGCUUGGCCAACAUGGUGAAACUCUGUCUCUACCAAAAAAAAAAAAAAAAAAAAGAAAAGAAAAGAAAAAAGAAAGAAAAAGAAAAAGAAAAGAGAAAUCCUUUCAGUGGAAAGACUUUAAGCAACAUUAUCUCCUUGUCCGCUUUGGAUUGAGAGAUGGCCUGAGAUACGGAUGGACGUUUACUGCUUCGUGUAUAAUGGCUAAUGGUUUGGCUGAACAAUCAGGAAUUUAGAAAGAAAGGAUUAGAAUAUUGUCUGCAAAGCAGUAUGUGGACGGACCUCUUAAUUGUCAGAGCAUGAGGGUAUUUAAGUGUUGUGCGAACGCUCACAAAGGCAUCUGCUACAGAGCUCUCAAUAAUCAGGUAGGAAGGAUGGCUUAUUCAAUGGAUGUCUGUCAGCUUAUUUCUCCAAACAGGUACUUGCUCAAUAGAUUCAUAUACAAAAGACCAUGCCAGCAAGGACGAAGGCUGCAUAUGGGCUCAGCACCAUAGACUUCCCAUUGGUGAUCUGCUCACCACCACCAUUAAGUGCUUAAGCUGACAGUAGCAGAGGCCAACACACGUUUCUAUUAUACCACCAUUUGGUAGGGAAGGGGGACAAUCCAGGCACCAGCGGCACUGAACCACUUCCAUCAUGAGGAGCUCUAGUUGUCUUCCCCAGAAUAGACACUUAAUCUGGAUAUUGAUUUGUUUUAUUUGGUUGCAAUAUUUCUGCCAACACACUAUCCAUGGACUUAUGGAUUGCCUUAUCCACCUUCAUGGUAUCCCACGCAACAUUGUUCAGGCUAAGGAACUCAUUAAAAAAGAAAAGAAAAAAGUAUAGCAAUGGGCUCAUGCCCAUGGAACUCACUGGUCUUAUCACUAACUCUUAGAAAGAUCUGGCCUC
rnacentral:lncRNA from 10 species